CAUGUGCCUUCUCGCAUAGAAUCCCUUUCAAGUCCGUGUCAAGCCCAUUCUUAGAAUUUUCAAUUAAGCCAUACAUGUUGCAUAAACCUUAGGUGGUUUGACCCUUGGUGUCAAUCCACACAAUUAGUAGCCACCCUAUUGUCUAAAGGGCCCCAACACCCUUAGACAAAUUGCAUAUUAUCUGUCAAUGUGGUCAUGAUAAUUAAAUUAAGCCAAAUUUGCCAACAUGGAGUUCAGAUUUUGUUUGUUGUUUGUUUGCAGAGUCAUGACCGCUCCCAACUUCCCCAACAC
rnacentral:lncRNA from 1 species